rnacentral:rRNA from 1 species
AAGGUAACGGCUUACCAAGGCGACGAUGUCUAGGGGGUUUGAGAGGAUGAUCCCCCACACUGGUACUGAGACACGUGACCAGACUCCUACUGCGAGGCAGCAGUGAGGAAUAUUGGGCAAAUGGGCGCAAGCCUGAGCCCAGCCAUGCCGCGCUGCAGGAUGACUGUCCUAUGGAUCUUAAACUGCUAUCGUAUGGGAAGAACUUCCCGCCAUUCGUGCGGGCAUUGACGGGACUAUACGAAUAAGGACCGGCUAACUCCUUGCCAUCAGCCGCGGUUAAUACUGAUGGUCCAAGCGUUAAUCCGGAUUCACUGGGUUUAAAGGGUGCGUAGGUGGAACGAUAAGUCGAUGGUUAAAGCCUACAGCUUAACUGUAGAAUUGCCAUUGAUACUGUGGUUCUUGAGUAUAGUCGGGGGAAUUGGAAUGCGUAAUGUAUCGGUUAAAUGCUUAGCAUCUUACGCAUAACACCGAUCGCGAAACGCAGUUUCCUAGGCUAUUACUGACACUGAGGCACGAAAGCGUGGGGAACGACCAGGAUUAGAUACCCUGGUAGUCCACGCCGUUAACGAUGUUCACUCACUGUAGGCGAUAUACGGUCAGCAGAUAAGCCUAAAGCAGCUAAGUGAGCCACCUGGGAAGUACGUCCGCAAGGAUGAAACUCCAAGGAAUUGAACGGGGGCCCGCACAACCGGUGGAACAUG